CCUACGGGAGGCAGCAGUGGGGAAUAUUGCACAAUGGGGGAAACCCUGAUGCAGCGACGCCGCGUGAGUGAUGAAGUCCUUCGGUAUGUAAAGCUCUUUUUGUAGGGAAGUAAAUGACGGUACCUGAGUCAUUAGCUCCGGCUACAUACGUGCCAGCUGCCGCGGUAAUACGUCGGGGGCGAGCGUUAUCCGGAUUAACUGGGUGUAAAGGGGGCGUAGACGGUUUGGCAAGUCAGUAGUGAAAGGCGGGGGCUCAACCGCCAAAUUGCACUUGAAACUGUAAGGUUGGAGUACAGGUGAGGUAAGUGGAAUUCGUGGUGUAGCGGUGAAAUUCGUAGAUAUUAGGAGGAACACC
rnacentral:rRNA from 1 species